GAAGGAGGACUGAAAGGAACUCUGGAGGUAUCAGAAGUGAGAAUGCAGGAAUAAGUAGCGAGAAGGGGAGUGAGAAUCUCCCCCGCUGGAAGACCAAGGUUUUCAGGGUAAAGCUUGUCUUCCCUGAGUAAGCCGGGACCUAAGCCCAGGCUAGAAUGCGUAGGCGAAUGGAAAACAGAUGAAUAUUUCUGUGCCAGUUCUACUUUGUGAAGGAGGGACGCAGAAGGGUAUGCGCGCAGACGAACGGAAGAGUCUGUAGAAGCAUGUAGAGUGACUUGGUAGGCAAAUCCGCCAGGUUAGACUUAAGGUGUGACAUAUACUCGCAAGAGGAAUGCGCAAAUCCCACGCUGCCGAGAAAAGCUUCUAGCGGUAAAGUAGAGACUGCCCGUACUGGAAACCGACACAGGUGGUCAGGAUGAGAAAUCUAAAGCGGACAGGCUAACUCUCGUUAAGGAACUCUGCAAAAUGGCCCCGUAACUUCGGGAGAAGGGGUGCCUUUAGGCGUGAGUAUACAAGCGAUACAAAGCGCUUUGAGGUCGCAGUGAAGAGGCUCAAGCAACUGUUUAACAAAAACACAGGUCUAUGCGAAGCUGUAAGGCGAAGUAUAUGGGCUGACACCUGCCCAGUGCCGGAAGGUUAAGAGGAGGAGUGAGAGCUCCGAAUUGAAGCCCCGGUGAACGGCGGCCGUAACUAUAACGGUCCUAAGGUAGCGAAAUUCCUUGUCGGGUAAGUUCCGACCUGCACGAAUGGUGUAAUGAUUUGAGCGCUGUCUUGACGGGAGGCCUGGUGAAAUUGUAUUACCGGUGAAGAUACCGGUUACCUACAGUAGGACGGAAAGACCCCAUGGAGCUUUACUGUAGCUUGGUAUUGGGUUUUGGCAUGGCAUGUAUAGGAUAGUUGGGAGACUGGGAAGGAAUGGCGCUAGCUGUACCGGAGUCAUCGGUGGAAUACCAACCAUUCCCUGCUGAAAUUCUAAUCUGUACUUUGGAGGUACGGAGACAGUGCUAGGUGGGCAGUUUGACUGGGGCGGUCGCCUCCGAAAGAGUAACGGAGGCGUUCAAAGGUUCUCUCAGGUUGGAUGGAAAUCAACCGCAGAGUGCAAUGGCAAAAGAGAGCUUGACUGCAAGACUGACGGGUCGAGCAGAUGCGAAAGCAGGACAUAGUGAUCCGGCGAUUCCGUAUGGAAGGGUCGUCGCUCAACGGAUAAAAGCUACCCUGGGGAUAACAGGCUGAUCCUACCCGAGAGUCCAUAUCGACGGUAGGGUUUGGCACCUCGAUGUCGGCUCAUCGCAUCCUGGGGCUGGAGAAGGUCCCAAGGGUUGGGCUGUUCGCCCAUUAAAGCGGUACGUGAGCUGGGUUCAGAACGUCGUGAGACAGUUCGGUCCCUAUCCACUGUAGGCGCAAGAAUAUUGAGAAGAUCUGUCCUUAGUACGAGAGGACCGGGAUGGACAAACCUCUGAUGUACCAGUUGUCACGCCAGUGGCACAGCUGGGUAGUCACGUUUGGCAUAGAUAACCGCUGAAAGCAUCUAAGCGGGAAACUAGCUUCAAGAUAAGUAUUCUAAGAGGAAGCUUCGAGAACAGGAGCUGGAUAGGUUGGGGGUGUACGCGCAGUAAUGUGUUUAGCUGACCAAUACUAAUCGAACGAAAUUUUAAU
rnacentral:rRNA from 1 species